GAAAAGCCUUCAAACACAUACAAAAAAAUCGCCAUUUCCCUCUGGUGGACAAACUCUGUAACUACAACAUGUUUCUAAAAGACUUCAAGCCUACUUUGAUAUUUUUGUAGUUUCUCAUUAUGUCUGUUCGUAGAUGCUGUGAUGAGUGAAUGAAGUCAGACUGUAGAUUUUUGUUCUUCUAGCUGUACUGACUGACCUUUGACCUCAUGUGUUGAUGACUCUUCACCUCUGUCUCCUCUCACACGGAGAAGAUGAUCUGCAGGAUCCUGCUGCUCAUCAUCCUCACCUCAUGUGUCUCUGGAUCAUUUGUAGUCAAUGUGACACAGACCUGCUAUCAGGCAGAGGAGAACCACAACAUCACACUGGAGUGGACGUUCACCACCAAACCUGACAGAUCCUCCAAAACGCUCAACAUCUUUUGUGAAGUCUUCAUCAGUAAUAACAUCUCAGUCCUGUAUCAUGUUCAUGAAGGUGUUGAGGUGUCAGAGUCUCAGGAUGCAAAGUUUUCAGGACGAGUCCAGAGUGACAAAGACGCCCUCAGAGAAGGACGAAUCAGACUUCAACUGUCCAGACUCAGGACUGAUGACUCGGGUCUGUACCUGUGUGAGGUCAACACUGAUUAUGGCUUCAGUAUUGGAAGAUGUCGACUCAACGUCACUGGAGCCAAAAAUUCAAAGGAGAAGUACUGGGAGAAAGUUAAAAAUGCUUUAGCAGGUGAACAGAUUGCAGGUAUAAUACUUGCUGGAUUGAUGGUCCUAAUAGGUGAAAUAGUUGACCCUAAAUUCUUCAUUAACAAAGGAGUAAGAGAAGAGACCACAUCAGAUGCAGAUGAAACAACAGUUCCUCUUCAAUUAUUGAUCUAGAGGAGAGCUGCUGAAACAGGUGUGGCUGGUAAGAUAAGUUCUGUGAGGCUACUCAGGUGUUUAUCAUGAAAAGACCGACAGAUUCUGGGAAAUACUUCAAAUGACCAGCAGACGAUGGCUCAGAGGGCUGUGAAGUCACACAUCUAGAAGCAUAAGGCCUGCUGGUGAAGCCUAGAUGUUCUGCAACAAGAGUGUUUGUGUGAGAGAGAAAGCCAUGGAGGAGAAUCUGGAUUCACUAAUGGAUCGACUUCCCUGAAGGCUCUUUGUAAAUAGAGGCAGUGAAUCAUCCCCUACUUGUAAAGUCUGUAAAUACUUUAUAUCUGUGUGCACUGUAAAUAAACUCUCUAAACCUGC